CGUAAAACGACGUGCACCACUUCUUUUGCUCGUCCUGGUCGAUGAAAGCGCGGACUGUCGCCGUUACUUCCGGGCCGCCAAAUCUCUGAAGACCCGUACAAGAGUGCCGAAAUGAACUAGGGUCUUCAAUGGCUUGAACAGCUUUUAAAAUACGACAAAGAACAGGAACACAUUCACCUAUACGACAGUGGCCAUGUUGGAUUGUUUUGCCGCCGUGACUACUAAGACCAGAAUUCCCCGCGCGCAUUACGCCUUGUGACGCAUAAUGAUGCAUGACAAUCUCGUUCCCAGAGCUUGCGAUACUCGGGAACGUAAGGCUCUGGGAUAAUCUGUUUCAGGGAGAAAUCUGAUUGGCCGUUGAAAUGGAAUGCGCAGUUCAAUCUUAGCCAGGAUUCCUGGCUUCCGGCAACGGAUUAUCCCAGAGCCCCACGUUCCUUCCCAAGGAUCGCAGGCUCGGGAACGAGCUUGGAUCCAUAAGGUCUAUUCAAAUAUGUGCAUACAUUUUUACACAGUUCUAUGUUUGCAUAAACUGGAAUUAUAGUAACUAGGCAUGUGAGUUAUAAACUGGAUGUGAACAGACGGUAGCAG